AGAGAGAGAGAGAGAGAGAGAAUCUUUAGGGAGGUCAGCAAGAGCACUCUUUGCUUCCUCAGCUGAAUAACCUAACGUUUUUAGAGGGCUCUCUCCUGGGUUGCGUGCGGUUCGCUCUAUAUUCCCCGUUUCCUGUUUUUAGGUUCCUGAGCGUGGGAGAUAUAAAGGAAUCUCUCAUUCUCUCUCAUAUUAUCUCUCUGGUUAUUAUUAUUUUUUUAAAAUCUGCAUCUUAAUUUCAUUCUAUACCCAAAUCACAUCUCUCUUGUCACCUCUUAUGCCAAAAGCAAUAGAACGCACUAAGCGUGCUGAGAAAACAUACAAAAGUCGCUAUUAUAUAUGUCUCUUUUCUUUGCCUUUGGCCUUUGAGUUGUUAAAACACUCAACUUUGUGGUUUUCUUUCUCUUGGGUGGGGUUGUUGUCAUUAUUUUCUGUUCUGAGUGUGUUGGGUUUAAGGAUUUUUAAGGCUUGAAGCUGUAAAAGCUGGCUCUUGUGUUGGCAGUUGUAUCGCUAUUUCCUGUCUGGUUUUUAAAUUUUUUUAGAGGUCCGAAGAGUUCCUUUUAAUCAUUUGAGGAUGCUGGUCUUCAAGUUCUUGAGUGCUGGUUAAAGGACUAUUAGCAGAAGUGGGAUUUUCCUGUAUUCUUGCUUCUUUCUGGUGUUUAAAGUUAAACAAGUGAUAUUUAUCUGCUGAAUGGAGGGUUGUUCAAAGAUUACUGAGGCAUGUCCUCAGUUACUGGAUUUGAUUCCAAGAGAAAGGGAAUGGCUAGUUAAAAGAGCUGAUGAAAGAUCCUCAGAGGAGAAGAAGCUUGAACUAAGGCUUGGUCCACCUGGUGAAGAAUGGUCUCUUCGCGAGAACGCUAAAAACGCAGAUGAUAGAGAAAGAGAUGAAUCUCUUCUCUCUCUUGGGUACUUCUCCAAUGGAAACCAACAUACCCGCAAAUUUUCUUCACCUGAAAACCUACAGCCUGGUUCUGUAUGGUUCAAUCAACAACUAUCACAACAAGCGAAGGCUACUCCAUUUCUCCAGUUUCCAUCAAAAACAGUAACAACACGACAGAGCCUGCCUGUAAUGGCAAAGGAAUCCUCACAGCCCUGUUGCACUAAAGUGGUUGUAGACUUGCAGCAGAGCGCAGAAAAGAAGGCGUUUUCACCGCCAGCUCCUGCAAAUACAGCUGUUGUGCCCAGCAGCUCUCAGAAAAGAACUGCUCCUGGUUCAGUUGUGGGUUGGCCUCCAAUUCGUUCAUCCAGGAAGAAUCUUGCAAGCAGCAGCUCGUCAAAACCUGUUACUGACUCACAAAAUGAAAGCCCAAACAAGAAGGUUGCUAGUGAAAAACCAGUUGAAACUUGCAAAAAAGGGAUGUUUGUAAAGAUCAAUAUGGAUGGUGUUCCCAUUGGAAGGAAAGUAGAUCUUACAGCCUAUGACAGCUAUGAGAAACUGUCCACUGUUGUUGAUGAACUCUUCAGAGGCCUCCUAGCAGCUCAAAGAGAUUCCUCUGCUGGUGGAAUCAUGAGUGAGCAAGAGGAAGAGAAAGCGUUUAUGGGCGUAUUGGAUGGAAGUGGGGAAUAUACCCUUGUUUAUGAGGAUAAUGAAGGAGACAGGAUGCUUGUUGGGGAUGUGCCAUGGCAGUAAGCAUCUUUAUCACUAUGCAAAUUUUUUAUUAUUCACUCAUAUUAUAUUCCUAGCAGAACACCAUUAUAUGCUUUUAUGUCGUUUAUUGUGACUAUGAUAACUGUAUUAGAUUCUUAGUAAACACUUAUAUAUAACAAAUCAUCAAUGGUGUCUAUUGUUUAUCCAUGCAAUCCCACAAUUCAAUGCAAUGGCUUGCCUUUUUUCACAUAAAGAAACUGUACUAUUUUUCUUUCCUGUGCUCUUCUAAGAUUUAAUAUUAUUUCAACCAUGUGAUAAUCUGCUUUCUUGAAUUGUAGCAUGUUUGUGUCGACGGUGAAGAGGCUUCGUGUAUUGAAGAGCUCUGAAGUUUCUGCGCUGAGCCGUGAGUUGAUUAAUUAUCUGAUGAAGAAUCUUGGAUUCUUUACUGAAGUAUUACUUACUCCCUCUAAUUCGUGCUUAAUCAGAAAGUUUGUGUUGUUUUCAGUUGGAAGCAGUAAGCAAAAGGCAAAGUACCAAUGAAAUGAGAAGAAUGAAUUUUGCUGUGAAGAUUCUCUUUUGAAGCUUGAAGGAGAGAAGAAGACUUGAAUUUUAUUAUGUUCUUUAAUUGACAUUUUGUUUUUCUAUAAUAUUUGUAUGCAACUCACAGUAUAUAAUAUGUCUAUGCCUAGCUUUCAUAUGUUUACCCUUUAACCCUCCAAUGAACUUGCUCUCUUUAAUUGAAUAAAAUCAUUAAUGGCAUAUUGAUCUGUCAACCCCCUGCAAAAUUUGCAAGAAUAAUGGGCUGUAAAGCUCCUACACUUUAU
rnacentral:misc_RNA from 1 species